AUUCAUCUUCGGGGCAGGGUGAAAUUCCCGAUCGGCGGUAUUAGAAGAUUUAUUUCUUGAGCCCGCGAGCCGUAAUUGGCAGGAUUUGGUUAGAUUCCAAAGCCGACAGUAUAGUCUGGAUGGGAGAAGGUGAAG
rfam:Psychrobacillus sp. FJAT-21963 super3, whole genome shotgun sequence.